rnacentral:rRNA from 1 species
AACAUCUAAGUACCCCGAGGAAAAGAAAUCAACCGAGAUUCCCCCAGUAGCGGCGAGCGAACGGGGAGCAGCCCAGAGCCUGAAUCAGUAUGUGUGUUAGUGGAAGCGUCUGGAAAGGCGCGCGAUACAGGGUGACAGCCCCGUACACAAAAAUGCACAUGCUGUGAGCUCGAUGAGUAGGGCGGGACACGUGGUAUCCUGUCUGAAUAUGGGGGGACCAUCCUCCAAGGCUAAAUACUCCUGACUGACCGAUAGUGAACCAGUACCGUGAGGGAAAGGCGAAAAGAACCCCGGCGAGGGGAGUGAAAAAGAACCUGAAACCGUGUACGUACAAGCAGUGGGAGCACGCUUAGGCGUGUGACUGCGUACCUUUUGUAUAAUGGGUCAGCGACUUAUAUUCUGUAGCAAGGUUAACCGAAUAGGGGAGCCGAAGGGAAACCGAGUCUUAACUGGGCGUUAAGUUGCAGGGUAUAGACCCGAAACCCGGUGAUCUAGCCAUGGGCAGGUUGAAGGUUGGGUAACACUAACUGGAGGACCGAACCGACUAAUGUUGAAAAAUUAGCGGAUGACUUGUGGCUGGGGGUGAAAGGCCAAUCAAACCGGGAGAUAGCUGGUUCUCCCCGAAAGCUAUUUAGGUAGCGCCUCGUGAAUUCAUCUCCGGGGGUAGAGCACUGUUUCGGCAAGGGGGUCAUCCCGACUUACCAACCCGAUGCAAACUGCGAAUACCGGAGAAUGUUAUCACGGGAGACACACGGCGGGUGCUAACGUCCGUCGUGAAGAGGGAAACAACCCAGACCGCCAGCUAAGGUCCCAAAGUCAUGGUUAAGUGGGAAACGAUGUGGGAAGGCCCAGACAGCCAGGAUGUUGGCUUAGAAGCAGCCAUCAUUUAAAGAAAGCGUAAUAGCUCACUGGUCGAGUCGGCCUGCGCGGAAGAUGUAACGGGGCUAAACCAUGCACCGAAGCUGCGGCAGCGACGCUGAUGCGUUGUUGGGUAGGGGAGCGUUCUGUAAGCCUGUGAAGGUGUGCUGUGAGGCAUGCUGGAGGUAUCAGAAGUGCGAAUGCUGACAUAAGUAACGAUAAAGCGGGUGAAAAGCCCGCUCGCCGGAAGACCAAGGGUUCCUGUCCAACGUUAAUCGGGGCAGGGUGAGUCGACCCCUAAGGCGAGGCCGAAAGGCGUAGUCGAUGGGAAACAGGUUAAUAUUCCUGUACUUGGUGUUACUGCGAAGGGGGGACGGAGAAGGCUAUGUUGGCCGGGCGACGGUUGUCCCGGUUUAAGCGUGUAGGCUGGUUUUCCAGGCAAAUCCGGAAAAUCAAGGCUGAGGCGUGAUGACGAGGCACUACGGUGCUGAAGCAACAAAUGCCCUGCUUCCAGGAAAAGCCUCUAAGCAUCAGGUAACAUCAAAUCGUACCCCAAACCGACACAGGUGGUCAGGUAGAGAAUACCAAGGCGCUUGAGAGAACUCGGGUGAAGGAACUAGGCAAAAUGGUGCCGUAACUUCGGGAGAAGGCACGCUGAUAUGUAGGUGAAGUCCCUCGCGGAUGGAGCUGAAAUCAGUCGAAGAUACCAGCUGGCUGCAACUGUUUAUUAAAAACACAGCACUGUGCAAACACGAAAGUGGACGUAUACGGUGUGACGCCUGCCCGGUGC